AAGUCGUAACAAGGUUUCCGUAGGUGAACCUGCGGAAGGAUCAUUAUAGAGUUCCUGCCCUCACGGGUAGAAACCCCACCCUUGCUUAUUAUACUUGUUGCUUUGGCGGGCCCUGUGGCCCCGGCCGCACGUUGGCUUCGGCUGGCGAGUGCCCGCCAGAGGACCCCAAACCCUAUGUAUUAGUGUCGUCUGAGUACUAUAGAAUAGUUAAAA
rnacentral:misc_RNA from 1 species